UUAAGCGACUAAGCGUACACGGUGGAUGCCCUGGCAGUCAGAGGCGAUGAAGGACGUGCUAAUCUGCGAAAAGCGUCGGUAAGGUGAUAUGAACCGUUAUAACCGGCGAUGUCCGAAUGGGGAAACCCAGUGCAAUUCGUUGCACUAUCGUUAACUGAAUACAUAGGUUAACGAGGCGAACCGGGGGAACUGAAACAUCUAAGUACCCCGAGGAAAAGAAAUCAACCGAGAUUCCCCCAGUAGCGGCGAGCGAACGGGGAGCAGCCCAGAGUCUGAAUCAGCUUGUGUGUUAGUGGAACGGUCUGGAAAGUCCGACGGUACAGGGUGAUAGUCCCGUACACCAAAAUGCACAGGCUGUGAACUCGAAGAGUAGGGCGGGACACGUGGUAUCCUGUCUGAAUAUGGGGGGACCAUCCUCCAAGGCUAAAUACUCCUGACUGACCGAUAGUGAACCAGUACCGUGAGGGAAAGGCGAAAAGAACCCCGGCGAGGGGAGUGAAAAGAACCUGAAACCGUGUACGUACAAGCAGUGGGAGCACCUUCGGGUGUGACUGCGUACCUUUGUAUAAUGGGUCAGCGACUUAUAUUCUGUAGCAAGGUUAACCGUAUAGGGGAGCCGCAGGGAAACCGAGUCUUAACUGGGCGUUAAGUUGCAGGGUAUAGACCCGAAACCCGGUGAUUCAGCCAUGGGCAGGUUGAAGGUUGGGUAACACUAACUGGAGGACCGAACCGACUAAUGUUGAAAAAUUAGCGGAUGACUUGUGGCUGGGGGUGAAAGGCCAAUCAAACCGGGAGAUAGCUGGUUCUCCCGAAAGCUAUUUAGGUAGCGCCUCGUGAACUCAUCUUCGGGGUAGAGCACUGUUUCGGCUAGGGGUCAUCCCGACUUACCAACCCGAUGCAAACUACGAAUACCGAAGAAUGUUAUCACGGGAGACACACGGCGGGUGCUAACGUCCGUCGUGAAGAGGGAAACAACCCAGACCGCCAGCUAAGGUCCCAAAGUCAUGGUUAAGUGGGAAACGAUGUGGGAAGGCACAGACAGCCGUGAUGUUGGCUUAGAAGCAGCCAUCAUUUAAAGAAAGCGUAAUAGCUCACUGGUCGAGUCGGCCUGCGCGGAAGAUGUAACGGGCUAAACCAUGCACCGAAGCUGCGGCAGCGACACUAUGUGUUGUUGGGUAGGGGAGCGUUCUGUAAGCCUGCGAAGGUGUGCUGUGAGGCAUGCUGGAGGUAUCAGAAGUGCGAAUGCUGACAUAAGUAACGAUAAAGCGGGUGAAAAGCCCGCUCGCCGGAAGACCAAGGGUUCCUGUCCAACGUUAAUCGGGGCAGGGUGAGUCGACCCCUAAGGCGAGGCCGAAAGGCGUAGUCGAUGGGAAACAGGUUAAUAUUCCUGUACUUGGUGUUACUGCGAAGGGGGGACGGAGAAGGCUAUGUUAGCCGGGCGACGGUUGUCCCGGUUUAAGCAUGUAGGCUGGUUGUCCAGGCAAAUCCGGAUAAUCAAGGCUGAGGUGUGAUGACGAGGCACUACGGUGCUGAAGUAACAAAUGCCCUGCUUCCAGGAAAAGCCUCUAAGCAUCAGGUAACAUCAAAUCGUACCCCAAACCGACACAGGUGGUCAGGUAGAGAAUACCAAGGCGCUUGAGAGAACUCGGGUGAAGGAACUAGGCAAAAUGGUGCCGUAACUUCGGGAGAAGGCACGCUGGUGUGUAGGUGAAGCCCCUGCGGGUGGAGCUGAGACCAGUCGAAGAUACCAGCUGGCUGCAACUGUUUAUUAAAAACACAGCACUGUGCAAACACGAAAGUGGACGUAUACGGUGUGACGCCUGCCCGGUGCCGGAAGGUUAAUUGAUGGGGUUAUCCGUAAGGAGAAGCUCUUGAUCGAAGCCCCGGUAAACGGCGGCCGUAACUAUAACGGUCCUAAGGUAGCGAAAUUCCUUGUCGGGUAAGUUCCGACCUGCACGAAUGGCGUAAUGAUGGCCAGGCUGUCUCCACCCGAGACUCAGUGAAAUUGAACUCGCUGUGAAGAUGCAGUGUACCCGCGGCAAGACGGAAAGACCCCGUGAACCUUUACUAUAGCUUGACACUGAACAUUGAGCCUUGAUGUGUAGGAUAGGUGGGAGGCUUUGAAGCGUGGACGCCAGUCUGCGUGGAGCCAACCUUGAAAUACCACCCUUUAAUGUUUGAUGUUCUAACGUUGGCCCCUUACCGGGGUUGCGGACAGUGUCUGGUGGGUAGUUUGACUGGGGCGGUCUCCUCCCAAAGCGUAACGGAGGAGCACGAAGGUUAGCUAAUCCUGGUCGGACAUCAGGAGGUUAGUGCAAUGGCAUAAGCUAGCUUGACUGCGAGCGUGACGGCGCGAGCAGGUGCGAAAGCAGGUCAUAGUGAUCCGGUGGUUCUGAAUGGAAGGGCCAUCGCUCAACGGAUAAAAGGUACUCCGGGGAUAACAGGCUGAUACCGCCCAAGAGUUCAUAUCGACGGCGGUGUUUGGCACCUCGAUGUCGGCUCAUCACAUCCUGGGGCUGAAGUAGGUCCCAAGGGUAUGGCUGUUCGCCAUUUAAAGUGGUACGCGAGCUGGGUUUAGAACGUCGUGAGACAGUUCGGUCCCUAUCUGCCGUGGGCGCUGGAGAAUUGAGGGGGGCUGCUCCUAGUACGAGAGGACCGGAGUGGACGCAUCACUGGUGUUCGGGUUGUCAUGCCAAUGGCACUGCCCGGUAGCUAAAUGCGGAAGAGAUAAGUGCUGAAAGCAUCUAAGCACGAAACUUGCCCCGAGAUGAGUUCUCCCUGAGACUUUAAGUCUCCUGAAGGAACGUUGAAGACGACGACGUUGAUAGGCCGGGUGUGUAAGCGCAGCGAUGCGUUGAGCUAACCGGUACUAAUGAACCGUGAGGCUUAACCU
rnacentral:rRNA from 1 species